GCCAUGAUGCACUGAACACUGAGUUUUCUGAAUCUUGAAGUCAAUCCUCUCCUGAG
rnacentral:snoRNA from 1 species